rnacentral:tRNA from 1 species
UGGUCCGUUGGUCAAGGGGUUAAGACACCGCCUUUUCACGGCAGUAACACGGGUUCGAAUCCCGUACGGACUAU